rnacentral:rRNA from 1 species
UACGUAGGGGGCUAGCGUUGUCCGGAUUUAUUGGGCGUAAAGAGCUCGUAGGCGGUUCGGUAAGUUGGAUGUGAAAUCUCCAGGCUCAACUUGGAGGGGUCAUCCGAUACUGCCGUGACUGGAGUUCGGUAGAGGGGUGUGGAAUUCCUGGUGGAGCGGUGAAAUGCGCAGAGAUCAGGAGGAACACCCGUAGCGAAGGCGGCACUCUGGGCCGAUACUGACGCUGAGGAGCGAAAGCGUGGGGAGCGAACAGG